AGUGACAAGGAGUCAUCUGCCUGGGACCCCAGGACCGGUCACCGGCAGAAGAAAAUGUCUGAGAUUAAAUGAGGUCUGAGAGCAGUUUAAGAGACCUGGCGCACACAGAUAAGUGUAUACCAUUUGUCAGCCUGAAAUUUUGCCAUGACACCUACUAUGUGAAUGUUCAAGUGCACCAGCUCUCUCUUCCAUGACAGUAGUUUGCAUCCUGCUAAGGAGGAGUAAGCAAGCGGGGCGACAAUUUUGGACUAGCUGGAGAUAACAAAAACUUCACGUACAGACCUUUAAUGAAACAUCAUUUGCCUCAUGAUGUCUUCAAGCAACAGAGCAAGUGUACCAAAUAUAUCUAGAGAACAAGCUAUAGUCCCAACCCUCCUUCAAGCCUAUACUUGAAAGUGCUUUAUAGAGAGAGAACAAUAUGAAAAGAAAAUGGUAAUAUCAGAACAAAUGUCUUUAACAGAGUUUAGGUUUAGGUUUAACAGGGUUUGUAAAUAUUCUGUUUACAGUGUACAAAAAUAGCUUUUAAUUGAAUUUAUGAGAUUCAAAUAAAAGUUGACAUGAUUUCUUUGCA
rnacentral:lncRNA from 1 species